AAUUCAUGGUUAGUACUUUCUAAGCAUCUCCUUAAAUCUCUCCCAAACUUCACUUAGUGUUUCAUUUUCAAACGGUUGAAAAGCAACAAUUUCAUUUUUGAAUCG